CCUACGGGUGGCUGCAGUGGGGAAUAUUGGACAAUGGGGGCAACCCUGAUCCAGCCAUGCCGCGUGUGUGAAGAAGGCCCUCGGGUUGUAAUGCACUUUCAGUGAGGAAGAACGCCUGGUGGUUAAUACCCAUCAGGAAAGACAUCACUCACAGAAGAAGCACCGGCUAACUCCGUGCCAGCAGCCGCGGUAAUACGGAGGGUGCGAGCGUUAAUCGGAAUUACUGGGCGUAAAGCGCGCGUAGGUGGCUUGAUAAGCCGGUUGUGAAAGCCCCGGGCUCAACCUGGGAACGGCAUCCGGAACUGUCAAGCUAGAGUGCAGGAGAGGAAGGUAGAAUUCCCGGUGUAGCGGUGAAAUGCGUAGAGAUCGGGAGGAAUACCAGUGGCGAAGGCGGCCUUCUGGACUGACACUGACACUGAGGUGCGAAAGCGUGGGUAGCAAACAGGAUUAGAUACCCGUGUAGUC
rnacentral:rRNA from 1 species